CCCCCUCGUGUGAUCUUGAAUACUGAUUGUGAGGCACGCGGAAACUUCGAAUUGAAUUGCAAAGAUAUUUGUGAUCAUUAAGUAUUCAUUUUACUUGUGUGAGAUCUUUUCACGUGGAGGUCAGAACUAUGCUUUUCUACCUGGUUUGUAACCUUAAAUUGUCUCUUUUGAUCGGAAAACUCUUCAUCUUACUUGUCCCAGACAAUUGGAACAUCUGACGGUAGAAUUUAAAAUGUUUGAUGUCUUGAAUGUCGACCUUUGGUGUGUAACGGUCCUCGCACGCAGGUUUUAGCAAGCGAUGGCAAGUCAACAAAUUCAAACCAUGGGGACAGAGAAGUUUAGUCCUCUUUGAACUCAUGCAAUCGAACAUCAAGAAGGAUGGCAUGGAUAAGAGACAAGAUGAAUUCUAUGGAAACAUAUACAGUCAAUACAGAUCUGAAAGAUUUCAAGAUCGUAUGAAGCAAGAAGCCUUCAAGAAAAGAUGAUGCUAGAGCGGGAUUGAAGAAUUCUCUUGACUGAAAUAAAGCUUGUCAAAAGUCACGUUUCCCCUGAUAAGGAAAGAAAUCACGAAUAGACGCGUGUUGUUUUCGAGGAAAUUCUGUACUACGUUUGCGCUUUUAAAAGGGCCACUGAAAUUAAUACAAAGAGUUUGGAAAAUAAAUAGGUCUUUUGGCGGGAAAAUUAUUUCUUGGAAUAACUGAAAAAUUAAAAAAAAAAAAUCUUCCCUUCAGUAGAAUAAUUGAGAAGCUUAAAAUUGUUCGCAAAAAUAUCAAGUAUUUUGGCGAGAAAAUUGUUCCAGGAAAAAAAAGUCUGCGCUUUUAAAUUGUCUACUUUUGAUCGAAAAAUAUACUAAGUUUUUUGGCGGGGAAAAUCUCGGUUCGUGCUGACGAUUUUCUCCUAUCAAAAAACAAGUAUAUUUUUGUUUAAUGCUAGAUGCUGUUCAAAUCCGCAGAAAUUGUUUUCCUCUCGGCAACCCCUCCUACGCAAAAAAAAAGUAAAAGAGAUAGCUCAUAUUUUGACUAGUUACCAGGCCUUUUAAAAGCGCAACAAUUUUUUUUAAAUUUGUAUACUUAAAGAGAAAAGGAACAGACAAUACUGGGGAAAUAAA